GCAGAAUUCAAAAGUAAACAGUCUGACGGCAAAGCUCAAGAGUGUUUUCUACUCUUCCGUACUGUCUCCAGGCAAGUUAGCUUCGGCCAGUAGCCGUUCUCUUUAUGUGCCAGGUGUUCAUAAAUUAGGCGUUUGUGAGUUAGGAAGUAGCUCUGCAACUUUGGCUUUAUAUCAGAAACCAUCACAACUCUCUACUGGCUUUGCUGAGGAAUCAGUCAAUGCAGGUGCACUUGAGGAGGUCUCGAUCUGUCACUCAGGCUGGACUGCAGUGGCGUGAUCUCGGCUCACUGCAACCUCCGCCUCCUGGGUUCAAGAAAUUCUCCUGCCUCAGCCUCCUGAGUAGCUGGGACUACAGGCAUGCACAACCACAUCCAGUAUCGAAAGAGAAACUCAGUUGGAUCCUUCUCAGGUAAUAAUGGAAAUUAUUGGUUCGUGUAUUCCAAGCAAAGAUUGAAUGACUGAGCGAUAAGAAAAGAAGGAUGGAGCUGGGCCUCGUAUCUCCUGGAUCCAAUACUUUGAACAUUCCUCCCUAGUCUCAGAUUCUCACAGAUUGUCAGUUUGAUUGGUCUCUUUUAUUGGAAAGUAGAUUACAAGAUGAAAAAUAUGGCUACCAACAAUUCCCAAGUAGGGCACUGAAGAAAGCCAGUCAUUCUUUCUCAGUUACACUUCAAAAAGUCCAAGGUAUGACUCAGAUUGAUUCAACUUGGGUUAAGCAUUCAUCUCUGUGUCAAUCAAGUAUAUGUAGGAGACUGGAAUAUCAUGACUGGCACACCUUUAUUCAGGUACCCUAUCCUGGAACAUUUAAUAGCAACCUAAGGAACAGUAUCAUUGCAAAUAUCCUAGCUUUCACUCAGUAUCUACAAAUCUGCUCUGCUUAAAGGUUUCUUCUUGGUGUUCAUGUAUCUGUCUGUCUACACCAUGGCAUUAAAUAAUCCUUACAAGACAAUAAAGUGUAUUGAUUAUCUUGUGUUUUAUACUUCUUCCUUAUAUUAAUUAUCUUGAAUGACUCUUCCUCAUCUCUGAAUCCUGCCUCCAAGAAUAACAGCAACAAAAUAGUUAAAUAAAUUGCUAAUUUAUAUGAUGACCUGUUUAUGUAUUCAAUUUAGAUUUAAGUAAAUGGCAUCAAGAAGGAUGAGUACCAAGGCUUCCCUUCUCCUCAUUUCUCAUGGUUUCAAUGUAUGUGCAUUAAUUUGCUGCUCAAGUUCCGAGUUGUCCAGGAACAUUGACAUGUAUAGAGAUUUGUUUUUAUCUGUAAGUAGCUCUUGUUCAGCUCUUUAUAGUCAAAUAAAUAAAACUAAUAUGCUUUAUUCUCUGUAAUUUAUUUCCAUGCUUAACAUGUUUUAAAACUCCUUAUGUUUCAGGUCUUGUUUUAGAUAUGGAAAUGUAGGAAUAAGUAGUUUGUGG
rnacentral:lncRNA from 10 species